AGUCGAACGGCAGCGGGGAGGAGCUUGCUUCUCUGCCGGCGAGUGGCGAACGGGUGAGUAAUACAUCGGAACGUGUCGAGAAGAGGGGGAUAACCACCCGAAAGGGUGGCUAAUACCGCAUAAAUUCUGAGGAAGAAAGCUGGGGACCUAGGAAUAGGCCUAGCGCUUUUUGAGCGGCCGAUGUCGGAUUAGCUAGUUGGUGAGGUAAAGGCUCACCAAGGCGAAGAUCUGUAGCGGGUCUGAGAGGAUGAUCCGCCACACUGGGACUGAGACACGGCCCAGACUCCUACGGGAGGCAGCAGUGGGGAAUUUUGGACAAUGGGGGCAACCCUGAUCCAGCCAUGCCGCGUGUAUGAAGAAGGCCUUAGGGUUGUAAAGUACUUUUGUUAGGGAAGAAAAGUCAGCUGUGAAUAAUGGCUGAUACUGACGGUACCUAAAGAAUAAGCACCGGCUAACUACGUGCCAGCAGCCGCGGUAAUACGUAGGGUGCGAGCGUUAAUCGGAAUUAUUGGGCGUAAAGCGAGUGUAGACGGUUAUUUAAGCCAGAUGUGAAAUACCCGAGCCUAACUUGGGAGGUGCAUAUGGAACUGGGUAGCUAGAGUGUGUCAGAGGGAGGUAGAACUCCACGUGUAGCAGUGAAAUGCGUAGAGAUGUGGAAGAAUACCGAUGGCGAAGGCA
rnacentral:rRNA from 1 species